rnacentral:tRNA from 1 species
GGAUUGUGGCUCAGCGGUAGAGCUCGCCCUUAACAUGGGCGGCACCUGGGUUCGAUUCUCAGCACCA